UUAAAAUACGAAACAGCAAAA
rnacentral:piRNA from 1 species